rnacentral:rRNA from 1 species
CCCAGACUCCUACGGGAGGCAGCAGUGGGGAAUAUUGCACAAUGGGGGAAACCCUGAUGCAGCGACGCCGCGUGAGUGAAGAAGUAAUUCGUUAUGUAAAGCUCUAUCAGCAGGGAAGAAAAUGACGGUACCUGAGUAAGAAGCCCCGGCUAACUACGUGCCAGCAGCCGCGGUAAUACGUAGGGGGCAAGCGUUAUCCGGAUUUACUGGGUGUAAAGGGAGCGUAGACGGCAGUGCAAGUCUGGAGUGAAGGGCGGGGGCUCAACCCCCGGACUGCUCUGGAAACUGCGUCGCUGGAGUACGGGAGGGGCAGGCGGAAUUCCUGGUGUAGCGGUGAAAUGCGUAGAUAUCAGGAGGAACACCGGCGGCGAAGGCGGCCUGCUGGACCGUGACUGACGUUGAGGCUCGAGAGCGUGGGGAGCAAACAGGAUUAGAUACCCGCGUA